UACGUAGGGUGCAAGCGUUGUCCGGAAUUAUUGGGCGUAAAGAGCUCGUAGGCGGUUUGUUGCGUCGGCUGUGAAAUCCCGAGGCUCAACCUCGGGUCUGCAGUCGAUACGAGCAAACUAGAGUGUUGCAGGGGAGACUGGAAUUCCUGGUGUAGCGGUGAAAUGCGCAGAUAUCAGGAGGAACACCGGUGGCGAAGGCGGGUCUCUGGGCAACAACUGACGCUGAGGAGCGAAAGCAUGGGGAGCGAACAGG
rnacentral:rRNA from 1 species